ACUUGUUCUGCAAAUGCUGAGGCUCAACUGUGCUUGAACUGACAUGAAGCGUGAAACGCGAGGUGUAUGUAUAUCGACCUGACCGUUUCAUUGUUGGAACCUGGCCGUCGUGCCGUCCACUGCUGUUCUCAUACUAUGAGUCAACAACUUGAUCAACCUAGCAUACAAUACCGUUGCCCCAUUGGCAUUUGGCAAGCUCAAGCACCUUGAACAAAUGGCAAGACCUUCACAGCUAUUCGCAUGGCACGUAAUAGUGGUGGCGGACUCUCAGAAUACCGUAGCUGGGUGUAAUUACCAAGCGCACGUAAUUAAUGAUAAACCCAAGGGAUAAAUCAGUUGCAAACCGCACGUACGUACGGACACGGUAUAUGAUUCCAUUGCACGGUCGGAGUCGGACACGGAGACCGAAUCCCGUACGUGUGGUGAUCGAUGGUGUCCGUCACCAAUUCGUAUCGACUGAGUAGAGUACUUCGCGCAGCUUUGCCUAUAUAUUCAUAACCUACCUACCUACCUAGCUGCAAAACAAGGCCAGACGUUCGCUGGAAGAUCAGAAAGCUAGCUUGUGUUUUCUCCAUCGUCCAGCCGAGAGGAGGCUAUGAAGAUCCGGCAUGUGCUCACCCGAUCCAUCACCUUCCUCGUUAUGGUCCUUGUGUUGUUGGUGUUGGUGCCCGAGGGAAUGAUGCUAGUGACGGGUGUCAAGUCACCGGCGAUGGCGGUUUUGUCGGAAAGUAUGGAGCCUGCAAUUAAAAAGGUACGUGAUACAAUUUAUUUAGUUUAAAUGUGUGCUUCAGUUUGUCGCCCCCUUUGAUUUCGACCGAUAUAUUGAUAGAUGCAUGCAUGGGAUAUGUGCUUAUUUUGCAGGGCGAUAUGGUGUUUGUGCACAACAUGAGCAAUGAACCUUUCCGCGAAGGAGAGGUCGUUCUUUUCAAAGUUGAUGGCUUUGAACAUCCAAUUGUCCAUCGUGUGAUCAAGGUUUACGAGCAUCGAGACACUCGAGAAAUCCGAAUACUCACCAAAGGAGACAACAAUUCAGUGGAUGACCGAUUUCUCUAUGCGAGCGGGCAGCUUUGGCUUCAACCGCAUGACAUUAUUGGACGGGU